UACGUACCGUCCAAACGUUAUUCGGAAUUACUGGGCUUAAAGGGUUUGUAGGCGGCGCUGUUAGUCGGGUGUGAAAUCCCUCGGCUUAACCGGGGAACUGCAUCUGAUACUGGAUGGCUUGAGUUCGGGAGAGGGAUGCGGAAUUCCAGGUGUAGCGGUGAAAUGCGUAGAUAUCUGGAGGAACACCGGUGGCGAAGGCGGCAUCCUGGACCGAUACUGACGCUGAGGAGCGAAAGCCAGGGGAGCAAACGGG
rnacentral:rRNA from 1 species